rnacentral:rRNA from 1 species
UACGUAUGGUGCAAGCGUUAUCCGGAUUUACUGGGCGUAAAGGGAGCGCAGGCGGCGCGCCAAGUCUGAUGUGAAACCCCGGGGCUCAGCCCCGGGCAUGCAUUGGAAACUGGCGGGCUGGAGUGCCGGAGAGGUAAGCGGAAUUCCUAGUGUAGCGGUGAAAUGCGUAGAUAUUAGGAGGAACACCAGUGGCGAAGGCGGCUUACUGGACGGCAACUGACGCUGAGGCUCGAAAGCGUGGGGAGCAAACAGG